UUCUUCGGGGCAGGGUGAGUGACAGGAAAUCACAAUUCCCUACCGGCGGUACAGUCCGCGACCCGCAUAGGCGGCUGAUUUGGUGAAAUUCCAAAACCGACAGUAUAGUCUGGAUGAGAGAAGA
rnacentral:ncRNA from 1 species